rnacentral:rRNA from 1 species
GAUGAACGCUGGCGGCGUGCCUAAUACAUGCAAGUCGAGCGAACAGACGUGUAUCUUGCUCCUCUGACGUUAGCGGCGGACGGGUGAGUAACACUUGGAUAACCUACCUAUAAGACUGGGAUUACUUCGGGAAACCGGAGCUAAUACCGGAUAAUAUAUUGCACCGCAUGGUUCAAUAGUGAAAGAUGGUUUUGCUGUCACUUAUAGAUGUAUCCGCGCCGCAUUAGCUAGUUGGUAAGGUAACGGCUUACCACGGCGACGAUGCGUAGCCGACCAGAGAGAGUGAUCGGCGACACUGGAAGUGAGACACGGUCCAGACUCCUACGGGAGGCAGCAGUAGGGAAUCUUGCGAAAUGGGCGAAAGCAUGACGGAGCAACGCCGCGUGGGUGAUGAAGGUAUUCGGAUCGUAAAACACUGUUAUUAGGGAAGAAGAAAUGUGUAAGUAACUAUGCAAGUAUUGACGGUACCUAAUCAGAAAGCCACGGCUAACUACGUG